rnacentral:rRNA from 1 species
UACAGAGGGUGCGAACGUUGCUCGGAAUUACUGGGCGUAAAGCGUGUGUAGGCGGCUAUGUAAGUCGGAUGUGAAAGCCCCGGGCUCAACCUGGGAAUUGCAUUUGAGACUGCAUAGCUAGGGUGCGGAAGAGGGAAGCGGAAUUUCCGGUGUAGCGGUGAAAUGCGUAGAUAUCGGAAGGAACAUCAGUGGCGAAAGCGGCUUCCUGGUCCAGCACCGACGUUCAGGCACGAAAGCGUGGGGAGCAAACAGG